CCUACGGGUGGCAGCAGUGAGGAAUAUUGGUCAAUGGACGAGAGUCUGAACCAGCCAAGCAGCGUGAAGGAUGACUGCCCUAUGGGUUGUAAACUUCUUUUAUAUGGGAAUAAAACGUUCCACGUGUGGGAUUUUGUAUGUACCAUAUGAAUAAGGAUCGGCUAACUCCGGGCCAGCAGCCGCGGUAAUACGGAGGAUCCGAGCGUUAUCCGGUUUUAUUGGGUUUAAAGGGAGCGUAGGUGGAUUGUUAAGUCAGUUGUGAAAGUUUGCGGCUCAACCGUAAAAUUGCAGUUGAAACUGGCAGUCUUGAGUACAGUAGAGGUGGGCGGAAUUCGUGGUGUAGCGGUGAAAUGCUUAGAUAUCACGAAGAACUCCGAUUGCGAAGGCAGUUCACUGGACUGCAACUGACACUGAGGCUCGAAAGUGUGGGUAUCAAACAGGAUUAGAUACCCCUGUAGUC
rnacentral:rRNA from 1 species